CCUGAAGAUACCUUCCGGCGCAGUGUCCACACAGAUUGUCUGAUAGAAGUAACGAGCAAAGUCACACCAGAGUCCCCAUCGUCUAGAGGCCCAGGACACUGCCCUUUCACGGCUGUAACAGGGGUUCGAAUCCCCUUGGGGACGCCAUACCGGUAACGAAGUGAAAGACGUUAUCAACCGUAUCUCAAAACUGAUUCCACCUUAACGGUGAGUCACGUUUGAGAUAUUUGCUCUUUAAUAAUCCGGAACAAGCUGAAAAUUGAAACGACGUGUCGUAUUCAUUCGCCGUAAUAAGAAUGAAGCUAACGAUACGUUCGAGUCUCUCAAUGCCUGCAACUGACAGACGUCUUUCGGGACGCUUGUGGGUUGUGA
rnacentral:misc_RNA from 1 species